GAUGAACGCUGGCGGCGUGCUUAACACAUGCAAGUCGAACGAAGCAUUUGCGACAGAUUUUUUCGGAAUGAAGUUGCUUAUGACUGAGUGGCGGACGGGUGAGUAACGUGUGGGUAACCUGCCUUGUACUGGGGGAUAGCAGCUGGAAACGGCUGGUAAUACCGCAUAAGCGCCCACUGUUGCAUGACAUGGUGUGAAAAACUCCGGUGGUAUAAGAUGGACCCGCGUCUGAUUAGCUAGUUGGUGAGAUAACAGCCCACCAAGGCGACGAUCAGUAGCCGACCAGAGAGGGUGACCGGCCACAUUGGGACUGAGACACGGCCCAGACUCCUACGGGAGGCAGCAGUGGGGAAUAGUGCACAAUGGAGGAAACUCUGAUGCAGCGACGCCGCGUGAGUGAAGAAGUAAUUCGUUAUGUAAAGCUCUAUCAGCAGGGAAGAUAGUGACGGUACCUGACGAAGAAGCCCCGGCUAAAUACGUG
rnacentral:rRNA from 1 species